GGGAGGGGGGGCUAGCGUUGUUCGGAAUGACUGGGCGUAAAGGGCGCGUAGGGCGGGUUUUUAUGUGAGGGCGUGAAAGCCCUGGGGCUUAACCCAGGAGGUGCGUUUCAUACUGGAAAACUUGAGUACGAGAGAGGAAAGUGGAAUUCCUAGUGUAGAGGUGAAAUUCGUAGAUAUUAGGAAGAACACCAGUGGCGAAGGCGACUUUCUGGCUCGUAACUGACGCUGAGGCGCGAAAGCGUGGGGAGCAAACAGGAUUAGAUACCCUGGUAGUCCACGCCGUAAACGAUGAGUGAUAGACGUUGGAGAGCAAUCUUCAGUGUCGCAGCUAACGCAUUAAGCACUCCGCCUGGGGAGUACGGUCGCAAGAUUA
rnacentral:rRNA from 1 species